rnacentral:lncRNA from 1 species
GGGAAAAAAUAGGACGCUUGAUUGUUUAUUCUCAGUAAAGUUGAUAUCUAAUUCAUCACUUUCCACACAGAUUUAUUUGCUCUCAUUCAUAGAAUAAUACAGUGUAGAAUGUGAUUCUGAUAAAUUAUUAUUGGAGGCCAACAGUAAAAUAACUCCAGGUGAAGAAUGUUAUCUUGAGUCAGAUGCUACUUUGAAGUUAGUUGAAGAUAUUGAACAAUCAGUCAGGCUAGUGGGGAUUGAAAUUUCCUCAAAUGAACCCGCUUCACGCCUUCUCUUGAGGUCAUGUACAGCUACUAGUUCAUGCAGCCACUCCGACAUGUACAACAAAACAGAGCGGAACAUGUCGUAAAAUAGAACCCUUUACAGCCUUCCGCAUUUUAAUAAGUAAGACUUUGCACUUGGUAUAUCACUCAUUUUUUCAUUAUGACCAAAUGUUACUGGAUUGAUAAACAAUGUCAAUGAAUCUAUUUCCUUGAACAAACUUGAGUCUGAAAGUAAUUCACAGAUACAAUUCAUAAAGCUAUUCACAGAUUUACAGAUUCAUGACGGUACAGAGCAAUACUGGAAAAAAAUAAAUAAAUAAAUAAAAUUGAAACAUUAAAAUAGAGCAGUUCACAACGAUUUUCUCCUGGGUUUUUCAAUAGCUUUCUAAACUUCUUAUGUUCAAUGUAUGUUAAAAAUUAAAAAAUUGUAACAUAACAAUCAACAAAUCAAAAUAACAUAUAAAAAGAAAUGAGAUGACAUCAGGGCCUUCACCUUCUUCUUCUGCUAUUCUGUUGUCUGUUGAAUUUUUGUUGGAAUCGAAGGCGUCUGCCGACUGCUAUCUAGGGCACAAAAAUGAAAAGAAUGUUAAGAGAUUCCGAUAUUGAAUGAAGGCGGCGACAGGUGAGAGUUCGUGAGAUGUUGAGAAGAGAUUCAGAAGUCAAAUGGAGGAUAUUUCCGUCUGUGUCUUAGUUAUGAAGAGUUUCGUUUGAAUGGCAAAGGCAAGCUAAGGAAUGGGAAUGGAGAUUUG